rnacentral:rRNA from 1 species
AACGAACGCUGGCGGCAUGCCUAACACAUGCAAGUCGAACGAGAACUUCGGGUCUAGUUGCGCACGGGGACGUACCGCGUGGGAACCUGCCCUUAGGUUCGGAAUAACUCCCCGUAGGAUGUCUUAAUACCGGAUAAUCUCAUCGGACCAAAGAUGUAUUGCCUUUGGAUGGGCGCGCGUUGGAUUCGCCAGUUGGUAGGGGACAAGCAUACCAAGGCGACGAUGCAUAGCUGGUCUGUGACGAUGAUCAGCCACAAUGGGACUGAGACACGGCCCAGAAUCGUACGGAAGGCAGCAGUAGGGAAUAUUAGAGGAUGAACGAAAGCCUGAUACAGCAGUGCCGCGGAAGUGAUGAAGGCGUUAGUGUUGUAAAGCUCUUUUACCCGAGAUGAUAAUGACAGUACUGGGAGAAGAAGCUCCGGCUAACUACGUG